ACAAGCGGAGGAACAUGUGGUUAAUUCGAUGAUACGCGAGGAACUUACCUGGGCUUAAAUGUAGAGUGCAUUUUCUAGAGAUAGGAAUUCCCUUCGGGGCUUUCUACAAGGUGCUGCAUGGUUGUCGGUCAGCUCGUGCCGUGAGGUGUCGGGUUAAGUCCCAUAACGAGCGCAACCCUUAUCGUUAGUUGCCAUCUGGUAAAGCAGGGGACUCUAGCGAACUGCCACCGUAAGGUGAGAGGAAGGUGGGAUGACGUCAAAUCAGCACGGCCCUUAUGUCCAGGGCUACACACGUGUUACAAUGGUCGGUACAGAGGGCAGCUACCUGGUGACAGGAUGCUAAUCUCGAAAACCGGCCUCAGUUCGGAUCGAAGUCUGCAACUCGACUUCGUGAAGCUGGAUUCGCUAGUAAUCGCGCAUCAGCCAUGGCGCGGUGAAUACGUUCCCGGGCCUU
rnacentral:rRNA from 1 species